UAAUUGGAUCACAGUUGUUGAUGCUUUCAAAGCACUUCCUGUGGGAGAUUAAUCCCAAGGAUACACGACAUCCAGUAGGUUCUGAGCGCCCUGCUGACGUGAUGUGGGUGGAAUAAGAGAGAACACAUGCACGGACUUGAUUCCAUCUCCCACGCGGUCCUGAAGUCAUCAGUGGGAUGGGGGAUGGACAUCCAGGGACAAGAAGGGAGAGAAUCUGACACGUCCACCACAGGGUCUCCACAGGGUCUCAGAGCCAAGCGCCCAGACAGGCCUGGCAAGUCACAAAGGAGUGAGGAAGGCUCGACCCCACCAGCUGACAGCCAGCAGGCCCUGAGGGAGGACCACCUGCCAGACUCGUUCCAGCAGGUUCUGGAUAUGGACUCAGCCAAUCCCCCAGCCCUGUCGGGUAGGUUUAUCACAGUUUCAUCAUAGAAGGGGAAGCACCCAGGGAAGGAGAUCGCCCGGGUCCCACAGCUGGCAGGUGGCAUAUGGACAAUACAGGACAGGAGUUUGGGUGGCAGGUCCUGGGCUUCCCUGUUGGGAGACAGUGGGGAGGGGUGGAGACUGUGGCAAACUGGGAGCACAAGCCCGUCUAAAGGGGCAGCCUGGACUUUGUGCCACCAAUUGCUGCUAUGAGAGGGUGUGGGCCCAGGGUGGCCCCAUCUCCUGAGACCUCGGGAGAACCAAGCAAUUGAUUCUCAAGGGAGACCUCUAAGCUGUCCACGUGUUGACGUUGGAUUCAUAUUCCUCAAAAACAACGAGAGGGACAGACAAGACACGUCUGCUGCCUGGUUUUGGGCCAUGCAUCCACAGUGUGUGCUCUGACCGUGGAGAGAAUCGUUCAUUCUAGAAAGUCCUGAGCCGCAAGGGGUCACUUUAAGAAUGCCAGGUGGCAGGCGCCAGAUUUUGGCAUCUGACACGCUCCCAAGAGCUCCCUGGGACCAGAGCAAUCAUCUUUUGUAAGCUCUGAUGGGGAACAACUG
rnacentral:lncRNA from 1 species